CCAAGGUUAUAGAAAAGGAAAAUGCAGGUUGUUUUGAAUUAAGAAAAGAUUUAGGAAAGUAAGGUUGCUUAUUAUGCUCAGGGAUUGCAACACUGUCCACCUACACAGGCUGAGAGCGUGGAUGGGAUGGAGCACAUAAAGCCUGUGGAAGGGGUGGUCAAAGAGGGGCAAGGGGAUGGAGACAGGGAAAUCAGGAUUAUAGGGGCAGGGGUAACCAAGGAGGAAUAGACAGGAACACUUGUUUCAACUGUGGACAAUAUGGCCACUGGAGGAAUGAGUGUCCACACCCCAGGAAACCCCAGGAAACCCCACACACCCCAACAACCCCACAAUUCUCAAAAUAUGCCCUGUAGGCAAGAACAACACCAGACCCACUCCCAACACCACUGGCCAGCAUAUCGCUUAGUUCAGGACUUUAGAGCCCUGAAUAGUUUAAUUGUGCCCAUUUCACCCAUUGUCCCUGACGUGACAUCCCUCAUUACAGCCAUUCCACAUGAUGCCACUUGCUUCACUGUCAUUGAUUUAAGUAAUGCAUUUUUUCUAUACCUAUUGAUCAAGAGACACAGCUACUUAUGGUUUUUACUUUUUGAAGGCUGUCAGUUUACCUGGACACGCUUACCCAAGGCUAUGUGGAUUCCCCAGCUGUUUAUUCGUUGGUACUCCAACAUACUCUAAAAAACAUGGACCACCGGUCAUGGUUCCGUCCUUUUUGCAAAAUGUUGAUGAUUUGUUGUUAUGUAGCCCUAGCUAUGAGGCAAGCACUGUGGAUACUGUCAGCAACUGUAGGUCACAAGGUUGUUAAACACAAAAUGCAAUUGUGUAAAUCAAAGGUUGAAUACUUAGGUUUUGUUCUGGCUUCAGGCACCAGACAAUUGAGUCCAAAACGUAUUGAGGUCAUUCAGAGGAUUCCUACACCCACUACUCGGAAGUAGUUGCUCACCUUCCUCGGCAUGAUUAAUUACUGCCACCAAUGGAUCCCUGAAUGCUCCCAUUAUGACUCAAUCCUAAGGGAGGCUGUACGUUCUGACAGCCCUGAAAAUGUCUGCUGGUCACCAGACAUGC